GCAAUAACUCCGCCUGUAGCUCUUAUAGGGUUGCUGCCGGUCCCAAGCCCGGGUAAAGGAGGAGGGUUGG
rnacentral:ribozyme from 1 species